CCUACGGGAGGCAGCAGUGGGGAAUCUUGCGCAAUGGGCGAAAGCCUGACGCAGCCAUGCCGCGUGAAUGAUGAAGGUCUUAGGAUUGUAAAAUUCUUUCACCGGGGACGAUAAUGACGGUACCCGGAGAAGAAGCCCCGGCUAACUUCGUGCCAGCAGCCGCGGUAAUACGAAGGGGGCUAGCGUUGCUCGGAAUUACUGGGCGUAAAGGGAGCGUAGGCGGAUAGUUUAGUCAGAGGUGAAAGCCCAGGGCUCAACCUUGGAAUUGCCUUUGAUACUGGCUAUCUUGAGUGUGGGAGAGGUAUGUGGAACUCCGAGUGUAGAGGUGAAAUUCGUAGAUAUUCGGAAGAACACCAGUGGCGAAGGCGACAUACUGGCCCAUUACUGACGCUGAGGCUCGAAAGCGUGGGGAGCAAACAGGAUUAGAUACCCUGGUAGUCCACGCUGUAAACGAUGAGUGCUAGUUGUCGGCAUGCAUGCAUGUCGGUGACGCAGCUAACGCAUUAAGCACUCCGCCUGGGGGAGGUACGGUCGCGAGAUAAACUACGAAGAAGUAGACGCGUGAGAGNGCGAGACGACGACGAGGGAGGAGG
rnacentral:rRNA from 1 species